rnacentral:siRNA from 1 species
ACAAAUACAAGCAACAUAGGGAAG